AGCUUUGCACAGUGGCAGUAUCAUAGCCAUUGAGGUUUAUCCAAGUCACAAUUAUUGCUAAUUGAAAAAUAAGAUCCACCUCUUCCAUUUUGUACCAUUAUUUACCUUGGUGGAAAUGUCAAUUUUAUGGAUUUCCAAAGUAC
rnacentral:snRNA from 1 species